CCUACGGGUGGCACCAGUGGGGAAUAUUGCACAAUGGGCGCGAGCCUGAUGCAGCCAUGCCGCGUGUGUGAAGAAGGCCCUCGGGUUGUAAAGCACUUUCGGCGGGGAGGAAGGCGAUAAGGUUAAUAACCUUGUCGAUUGACGUUACCCGCAGAAGAAGCACCGGCUAACUCCGUGUCAGCAGCCGCGGUAAUACGGAGGGUGCAAGCGUUAAUCGGAACUACUGGGCGUAAAGCGCACGCAGGCGGUCUGUCAAGUCGGAUGUGAAAUCCCCGGGCUUAACCUGGGAACUGCAUUCGAAACUGGCAGGCUAGAGUCUUGUAGAGGGGGGUAGAAUUCCAGGUGUAGCGGUGAAAUGCGUAGAGAUCUGGAGGAAUACCGGUGGCGAAGGCGGCCCCCUGGACAAAGACUGACGCUCAGGUGCGAAAGCGUGGGGAGCAAACAGGAUUAGAUACCCGGGUAGUC
rnacentral:rRNA from 1 species